rnacentral:rRNA from 1 species
AUGCUGGAAACAGCGAUGCGGGAAUUCCAAGUGCCAGCACAAAGUGUUGGCUGUUCCAUUGUCUAAAAAACAUAGGAAGUAAGGGCUGGGUAAGACGGGUGCCAGCCGCCGCGGUAAUACCUGCAGCCCGAGUGGUGGCCGUUAUUAUUGGGCCUAAAACGUCCGUAGCCUGUUUGGUAGAUGCCUAUGUAAAUCGAACGGCUCAACCGUUCGAACUGUGGGUAGACCGCCAGACUUGGGACCGGGAGAGUCACGAAGUACUCCGGGGGUAGAGGUGAAAUUCUGUAAUCCUCGGGGGACUACCGGUGGCGAAGGCGUCGUGAUAGAACGGCUCCGACGGUGAGGGACGAAGCCCUGGGGCGCAAACCGGAUUAGAUACCCGCGUAGUCC